CAGUUGUCUGAGUGCACUCUGCCAUUUCCGUUUCUAGCCAGCCGGUGGUGUCACUCAACAACCGUGGAGACUUCAAAUCACUUAAAAUAAUACCUCACACUACUGAAUAGGGAUUCCAUUAGGAAAAAAAGCUAUCCCACUGUUUUAUUCUGAUGGUCAGCCAUGGAUGAAGAUGACAGCCAAGAUGAGCUGAUCAACUGCAGUACAUCCCACAGCAAAGGAAAAAGGGCUGCCUUGUGGGCCAUCUCAGAUGACUCUGACAAUGUUGAAGAGGAGUCUGGGGAGGAAGAAACUGACAGUGGUGAGGAAGAGGAGGAGGAUCACGUAGAUGGAGAAGAAGAAGAGGAGGAUGAUGAUGAGGAGGAGGAAGAGGAGGAUGAUGAGGAAGAGGAGGGAGAUGCUAAGGCUGAAGAUGGAGCUUUUGGGGUAACCUCUGCCGACGCUGCAGGGAUGAGCUCGGAUGAGGACACAGAGAAGUGUCCCAUCUGCCUUAACUCAUUCAGCAGCCAGCCUGUUGCAACACCAGAGAACUGCAAGCACUACUUCUGUCUCGACUGCAUCCUUGCGUGGGCCAAGAAUGCAAACUCGUGCCCUGUAGACCGUAUUGCCUUCAACAGCAUAUACCUAAGGAAAUGUUAUGGAGGCAAAGUGAAAAAAAUGAUCACAGUACAAAAGCCUGUGAAGGAAGAUCAAGAGGAAACAGUAAAUUUGGACCUGGAGCAGACCAGCUGUGAGGUGUGUGGGGGCACUGACCGUGAGGACCGCCUCUUGCUCUGCGAUGGCUGUGAUGCUGGGUAUCACAUGGAGUGUCUCACACCACCUCUUGACUCUGUUCCUGUGGAGGAAUGGUUCUGCCCUGAGUGUGAAGCCAACAACCGUCACUCAAGGGGUUCAGCUGAAGAACUUAGUGAUACAGAGAGCCUACCUUCUACUGCCCGACCUGCCACCAGCCGAUUACAGUCCGGCGCUGCAGGUCCCACCAGAGCUAUCGCCCGAACUCAGCAGAGUGAGAGGGUUCGAGCUAAUGUUAACCGACAUCGCAUCACACAGGCACGGACAUCUCAGUUGGCUCCCACGUAUAUGAUUCAGUCCUCUUGGCUUGAUGAGACUAUUAAUGCUGUGGUGGCUGGGCUCAAUUCGGCUGUGUAUAUACGGGACUUAACACCACGUGUCCCAUCUAGCCGCAGGCGCAAGACCAGAAAGCGCAGAAAAGUUAGAAGCAAGAAGACAUCUUCCGCCAAGGGUAAAAACGGUAAAUUAGCAAGUACAGGAGUCAAGAGGAGGAAGCGGAGAGUGAGAAGGACUAAAUCCAGAAAAAACCUGAUGUUGAAAAAGGCUGCCACUCCUCGAAGCCGUAUUGCUAGUAAUCUCAGAAUUGUAAAGGACAAGAAGAGCUCUUCGCUUCCAACAGUAUACCGGCCGUCAGAGCACACGCUAAGCAGCAUGCGCGCUGACAUAGGUGCAGCAUCCCUCUCUAUCUAUGGAGAUCCAUUUGACCUGGAUCCAUUUGUAGAUCGUCAGGAGGAAGAGCAGCAGGCCCGCAUUACAUCGCUGUUGGAAGCCAAGAGACGAGGGAUCUCCCGCUCUGCUCUUCGCUCUCACCAGCCUGUAGCUCGACCAGUCACUGCAAGCCUAUCCGGGAGAGGAAUGGAUGCGCCCCAAUCAAGGAGUGUUUUUGAGGCGGCUCCUGUGCCCGACCUCCUGGGCAGCAUCCUAUCGGGACAGAGCGUCCUCUUGAUGGACAGCUCUGAUGUUGUUAUUAAUCGAGAUGGUUCCCUUAAAGCUACAAAGCCAAUGAUGCCAUCUGUGUCAAACCGAGGUUGCAGCAAUAGCAGUAGCUCAGGAGAAGCCAGCACCCAGAUCAGCCCAGUGAUGUCACCCAGCCAAGGAGACAGGUCUCCGUCUCGCCACAACAACGGAGACCUACCAGGAUCCUCCCAUAGCUCGAUAAACAGACCUGUCUCCCAGAGCUCUUCUCGUUUACCAUCCUACAUGCCCUCCUCAGCCAGCCACAUCCAACCAUCUUUCCAUUCUGAUUUACCACCCCAAGGCCAUCCAAGUUUACAGCCACCACGUCCAAUCAGACCCACGCACCCUCCUGGUCACCAGACAACCAAUGGAGUAAGAGCCCCCAGUCUCUCCUCAUCCACCAACCACUCCCCGGACUCUAGCACCAAGAGCAAGGCAAUGACCUCAUCACAGUCUAAAAAAGCACCUACAAAGCCCAUGUGGGUAGAUGUGUCAGUGCUUCCAAGGAUACCAAAAAUAAAAAGGGAGAGCAGUGGUAUGUCAACGGAUGGCACUAGUCAAGAUGGCAGCAGUGGCAGUAAUCACAGCAGCAGCAGUGGUAGUAGUAGUAGGGGGAAUAGUAGUAAUUCUACCACUGGUAGUAAAGGUUGUGUCACUCCAGAAACAGGCAUUAACAGCCUGGCUGGGGGCCAGGGAAGGCAGCAAAGUGUGGACCAGCAAAAGAGCAGGGCUGACGGUCAGGCCCAGAGGCAGAGGCCUGACGGAGCCAGCUCAUCCUCAGCCUUCUCCAACUCAUUCUCCUCUUCCUCCUCCACUGGUUCUUCUGCUAGCCAGCCACAUUAUUCCUCGUCUUCUUCAUCUUCAUCAGCAGCAGUGAGCUUCCGCAUCUGUGGGAACUCCUGGCAAUCAAGGCGGCUAAGCAGCUUGUCAUCCUCUGCUGCUAGAAGCAGCACACAGGCACCCUGGAGAGAAAAGGAAGAUGAAGCAAAAAAGAGACAGCUGCACAGGGAUAAACAGAUGCUCUUGGCAUCACGUACACUUCUCAAUAAAGACCAAGACAGUGAUAAUGUCUACGAUCCCUAUAAUCCCACCCUGUCAGAGUCUAGCAGCUCAGAUGAUGAAGCUGAGAGCACAAGCUCUAGGAGCACAAGUUUAGGAAACAAGAAGGGUUUAGUGCAGAGCAAGCAUGACCUGGUUCCUGUGAAGAUUGAAACAUGGGAGAAUGAGGUCUCGCUGGAAGUUCCUGGGAGAGCUAGUUCUCAGGAAACCACAUCAUCGGAGGUCAGCUUCUCAGAGGAGUAUGUCAAGGUAGAAAAAGAAUCUAGAUUAGCAGACACUAAAACUGAGAAACAAACAGUGUUACUAGACACUAAAGUUAAGAAAGAGCUAGGGUUAGAUAAUGCAGGGAAAGGUGAAAGGUUUGGUCACACUGUAAAAAGUUUGAAGUCUGAGACAGCAGACACCACGCCACCUGUUCCACACAGCCUGAAUCUUUUAAAGACUGAAAGGGGGACUCUCAAGGAGGAGAGUGGACAGAGUGUUGGCACUCUAAACAGUGAUCCCCCUGACUGUAGGAAUGAUUCAUUAGCAUCUAACUCUGCUCCCACCAAGAAAAAAGAAACCAAAUCAGAUUCCAAAUCCUCUCCCAAGUCAAUAGAUCUGGGCCGUAAGAAGAAGUCCUUUCAAGCUUCGAAGGAGAGACGCUCCAGCAGUUCAGAGACAGACCGAGGCAGGAGAGAAGGCCGUCAUGCUUCAGGCCAGGAAGGCCGACAGAAAGAAAGAGAGAAGGACAGAGAAACGAGUUCAAGGCGGUCAAGGUCCAGAGAGAGAAGAAGGGCACACUCAGUCUCAGAAAGCUCUCAGUCCGGUUCCCCUGAUAGGACUCGCGGAAAGAGACGUCGGUCCCGGUCCCGAUCCAAAGACAGGAGGCAAUCUAGGUCUGGUUCCGGCUCUAACAGCAAAGAGCGUUCAGGGAGGAAGAAGCAUAAAGGAAGUAGCAAGGAGAGCAAUGAUGGCAGAGAGAGAGACUCUGAUAGAAGACGGGUGUCAAAGGGCAAGAGACAUGGUCUGUCUCGCUCAAAAUCUUCUUCAAAAUCACGUUCCAGAUCCAGAUCUAGAUCAAAGGACCAUAAGCGUCGGUCUUGCUCAAAAUCACGGUCAAAGUCACGAUCCAGAUCCAGGGAAAGAAGGAAAGACCUCUCACGACUGCAACAAUCAUCUCUCUCCUCCAGACACAAUGUGGAGUCUCAGUCAAAAGACAAGAGGAGACGCAGGUCCAGAUCCAGCUCAAGAGAGAAAAGGAAAGAAGUAGGAUCACCAUCCAAGACCUCUCAGAAAAGUUCAGGGUCCUGUGUUUUGUCCUCUAAAGACACAAAACGGUUACAGGACAUUAAAAAAGAGAAAGAUAUCACUCGAAACUCCCUCAAAGAGGAAAAAGUUGCCACAGUUAAUAAACAGAAGACACCCUCCUGUACUGCCGCUUCUAAUGUUAGAAAGAAAGGCCAAGACGACCAGGCCGCAACAAAAGAAAUGGCGGAAGAGAUGAAGGUCGGAAAAGAAAUUAAGAAAGAAAGAAAAACAUCUCUUGAUAUGUUUGAAGAUUCUUUUUUGUUUACUAAACCAAUUAAAGAAGAAACUGACAUGCAUGCUUUGAUGGUAACCAAAAGCAUAGAUCAGGAGUUAAACAUAGAAGACCCAAUCAAGACUGAGGCAUUUGAAAUCAAGACUGAGACGUGUGAAAUCCCCAUAAUUAAAACUGAGCCAAGUUCCCCAGAAACAUGCCACUUACACCCUGUCGCCUCAUUUUCUACACCGACCGAGCCGGUUACAACAGUCGGGCCCCAUGGUACAGUUUCCCAGUCUCACCCAGAGUCAAUGGCUUCCGGAGAACAACCAGACACUGUUGGGUCGACCGUGCCUGUAAAGCAGGAACCUCGGCAACCCUCAGACUCUGAUGAUGACUUUAAUGUGGACGUGAUGCUGGACAACCUGGACUUUGUGAAGUCUGAGCGCACAGAGGAAAGUGCUGUCUCUGUCAAACAAGAGGAGGAAGUAGAGGAGGGGAAGAACGAACGGGUAUCGACAGUAGUGGGAGCAAAGCCCAAGACUCAAGUGAAGAGGGUGACCUGGAAUAUACAGGAGCCUCAGGGGCCUCAACCAGAGAAAUGCGCAAGCAAGCUGUCUCUAUAUAAGUUGAAGCUAAAGCAGGAAGGAGCUCGCAGACCCCCUUCAACAGUCCAGACAUCAGUCAGGACUUCACUGGAGCUGUCGGUCACCCCUCCACGAGGGGAGCUGUUGGUCCUCUCAGUUCCUCCUCUACUUCUGAUGGUGUACAAGGAGAGGCAGAGGAAAGGCAUUUGUAUUUGAAGAAGCUGCACAUGCAGGAGAGAGCUAUAGAAGAGGUGAAGCUCGCCAUCAAGCCUUUCUACCAGAGGAGAGACAUCAACAAAGAUGAAUACAAAGAGAUUCUACGCAAAGCUGUCCAAAAGGUGUGCCACAGCAAGAGUGGGGAGAUCAACCCAGUGAAGGUGGGCAAUCUGGUCAAGGCUUACGUUGACAAAUACAAACAUGCUAGGAAACACAAGAAAGGAGAGGACGUGGGGCAGGCACAGGAGGCUGAGGCCAUCAGGACCUCUGAUAGCCCAUGAAUUACAGGCAAGGACAGCAACACCCACUGCAGACACGUAUUCAUAUGUUGUACUUUGUGUUCUACCACCGGCUGUGAUCUCACACUCUGACAAACCCAGUCCAGACGGCUUACUAGGAUUUGCUCAAAGCUCCAAGGUGCAGCUAUGAGGUUGAGCUUUCUACCUUAACUGAAUUUUGACUACAAACUUGUGUUGAUCACUUGAACUGCACCUAUUGAUGUCUUGUGCUUGGACAGUCACUGUCGGUAACUGGUCUCUUUGUGUAGUUGUGUAGCUCAGAAACUUUAUGGGAGACCUUGAGGUUGUGCCUUAAAGAGGCACAUCUCAAAGAUCCUCCCAUGGUGAUAAAUCAGGUAGCCUUCUCCACAGACAUAUCACUGGGAGGAUGCAGCGUGGGCUUUGAAGUUCAUAUGGCUGUUUUGUUUUGUGGGAGUGAAGGUGUAUUUAUCAGUGGCAGAAUUCAUUUUGUUGGUUAAGAAAUGGUAUAAAAGUAUGCAGACUAUGCAUAUAAAUAGGUUUGUCACAUUAAGGAACAACACUGUUAUGCAAUUUUUGUAGAAGAUUUAUCAGAGUAAUUAAAUAAUUUUAGAUUUGGUUGUAAAUAAUAUAGACUUAUAUGUUUCUUUCGACUGUGUUGUCUGUUGCGAAUGACGAAAAAUGGUUCUAGUACAUAGAGUUGAUUGGUUUAUGUUUUGUAUUUGAAAGCCUCUGUUAUCCGUCUUCCACAUUUAUUAUAAUCAUCUCUAAUGAGCUACGUAUAGUCCAGCGAACUAUGAGUUCUAGCUCAGCACUUUGAAAUGAAUAAUGGAGUCACUCCUAUCAAAAAACAGCCUCUUCUUUUUUUGGCAUACUUUAGUUUUUUACGAUCUAAACACUUUUCAAUCUCAGCAUUAUCCCUUUUUCAACCCAUCACUGAAAUGUAGAAAACCAGGGAAUAUUUUUUUUGCUAAACUAGUAAAAAAUAUAAAUAAAAGAAAACACAAUUUUCCUCAAUAAAAAAGAUUACAUUUGUUUUUUGGGCAAUCUGUUGUUUUUUUCUAAAAUGGAGACUACUGCUCCACAGUAGUGAAAAGGAUAUGAGUGAAAGGGGUUAAAGUUCAGACUUCAUGUCUCAAUGGCUGAGUUGCAGUCCAAAUUAUCUUUAAAAAAUGUUCAUUUUUAGAAUUUGUCACUGUCGUCACCUGGUGCUCUCAUGUUUGCAAACAUUUUAACUACCAGGUUGUUUUUUAUAUUUAAUGUAAAGUAUUAAGCUAUUUUUUGGGCAUAAUAUGAUGGUUUUGUAAGAUGGAUGUAUAGCCCAAUUUAAUAAAACCAAUCUCACAGCAAUUUCCAAGGUAAGUAUAAUAGAAGUAAAUGAAUACUUCACUACUACAAUACAACAUAAAAAGAAUCGUUUGUGUUCACCUCGAGGUUUCUGCAGUACUUAAUUAGGAAUGCUUUUGUCAUUGUUUCUUAAACCUGACCCUUUGUCUUGAUAUCCUUGACUUCUCCGUUGGGCUGUCUUCACCAGAACUCUUCAUGAGAAACUAAUUCUGCAUGUUCACCAUUUUGUUGUCUACAGUAGUUUGCCAACUGUAAUAACAGAUGAGGUGGGUGGUUGGACUUGCAUUGUAUUGUAUUGUCCAGUUUAAGUUGGCUUUGUAAAGCCAGCUACUAGAAGUGGGAGAAUCUACAAAAACAGGUGCUCAUGUUUAUCUGAAUGUAUUUUACUGCUUUUCUGCAUUUAAUUGAUGAGACAGACCAUGUGUUUUCUAAGAGGGAACACAAAUGAUAAUAGGGUUUCAUCUCA